UACGUAGGGGGCGAGCGUUGUCCGGAGUUACUGGGCGUAAAGGGCAUGCAGGCGGUCGGACGCGUUUCGGGUGACAGCGGGUGGCUUAACUACCCGAGUGGUCGAAAGACGGUUUGACUUGAGGACGCGAGAGGGACACGGAAUUCCGGGUGGAGUGGUGAAAUGCGUAGAGAUCCGGAGGAACACCGAAGGCGAAGGCAGUGUCCUGGCGCGUAACUGACGCUGAGGUGCGAAAGCCAGGGGAGCGAACAGG
rnacentral:rRNA from 1 species